rnacentral:lncRNA from 1 species
CUUUCUCCCCGCCGCAUUCCCGGUGUCGACUUACUAGCUGCAAGCCUCUGCCUGCCUUCCUGCGCGCCGUUCCCCGCUAGUCGCUGCUGCUGGCGCGCACUCGCCGGGUUUUUCCUCCCACGGCCUCGAGAUGGUGGUGAAUGUGGCACGGAGGAGCCGGGCCUUCCAACCCGGUGGGCCCGAGCUCCGAAAGGCCCCCUCGGCAGUGAGAGGGGCGGGAGCCCGCGGGGGCCGCGCCCUUCUCUCGCUUCGGACUGCGCAACGCUGCGCUCUGGGCUGACAGGUGAGUGUUGCAGGCAGGCGGCCGGGUUUACGGAAGGGGUGGGGGUUUGGGAACCGGUCUCCUGGGGGAUGCGGGGAUGAAUCCCUGGGCCUGAAGUGUCUUAAUUCAGGGGGAGGCCGCAUGCUGGUGUCAGGAUGGCCUCCAGUUGAAUCUGUGACAUUUACCAGCUAGGUGAUUUUGGGACUGGUGACUACGCGCGAGACCUCUGGAGGUCGCCCUGGUAGACACGGUUUUCAGAAGGACGGGUUUUAGGCAUUCAGACCCUUGCGUGCAUCCCAGCUUGUUGCUUUCAGCCUCGCUAAGUGACUAAGCGACCUUCAGGAAGUAACUUAAUCGGUCUAAACCUCUUACCUGUAAUAGGCGGAUAAAACGGUCCCAUCAAGACUGAGAAAAAGCACACCAGCUAUUGGCACAGCGUGGGCAGUGGGGCCUACAGGAUGACUGACUUAGUCUACAGAGAUCCCGGCGUACUUAAGCAGGUAGUAAUGAUGGACAGAUGAAGACUCUUAAGAUGACAGAAGGUGAUUUUUCUGGUGAUCGAGGACUUCCGGGGUAAUGACAGUGAUGAAAUGCAGGGGACCUGGUUGCCCCCAAGUUUCCUGGCAGUGUGUGAUACUGAGGAGAUUCAUGUUACAUGUAAAGCUGUCCUCAUUUGUGACUAUGGACCUAUGGAGUUGGGACAAUCUCUAUGGGAAGCAGAAGGCAAGGACCCCGGUCAUUUUAGGUAGAAACAACAGCAUGCUAAUGCAAAAAAUUAUGCAGUGUGCUACUGAACUUCAGAGGUGAUCAAUAAAAGAAGAAUAAAAAGACUAAUAAAAGU